UACGAAGGUGGCAAGCGUUGUUCGGAUUUACUGGGCGUAAAGGGAGCGUAGGUGGUGGGGUAAGCCCCGCGGGAAAGCUCCAGGCUUAACCUGGAAAGGUCGCGGGGGACUGCUCCGCUCGAGGACGGGAGAGGAGCGCGGAAUUCCCGGUGUAGCGGUGAAAUGCGUAGAGAUCGGGAGGAAGGCCGGUGGCGAAGGCGGCGCUCUGGAACGGCCCUGACACUGAGGCUCGAAAGCGUGGGGGAGCAAACAGG
rnacentral:rRNA from 1 species